AAUGGAAUAGCUGGGCCAAAUGGUGGUUCUAUCUCCAGUUUUCCAAGGAACCUCCAUACUGCUUUCUAUAUUGGCUACACUAAUUUGCAGUCCCACAAGCAAU
rnacentral:pre_miRNA from 1 species